rnacentral:rRNA from 1 species
AGAGUUUGAUCCUGGCUCAGAACGAACGCUGGCGGCGUGCUUAACACAUGCAAGUCGAACGAGAAGUACGGUAGCAAUACUGUAUUGUAAAGUGGCGCACGGGUGAGUAACACGUGGGUAAUCUGCCCUUGAGUUUGGGAUAACCCCGCGAAAGCGGGGCUAAUACCGAAUAAGACCACGGGGACCAAAGUCCCUGAGGUAAAAGAUGGCCUCUAUUUAUAAGCUAUCACUUGAGGAUGAGCCCGCGGCCCAUUAGCUAGUUGGUAGGGUAACGGCCUACCAAGGCUAUGAUGGGUAGCUGGUCUGAGAGGACGAUCAGCCACACUGGAACUGAGACACGGUCCAGACUCCUACGGGAGGCAGCAGUGGGGAAUAUUGCGCAAUGGGCGAAAGCCUGACGCAGCAACGCCGCGUGGGGGAUGAAGGUUUUCGGAUUGUAAACCCCUUUCGACCGGAACGAAUAUCCUCUUGGUAAACAAUCAAGAGGAUUGACGGUACCGGGAGAAGAAGCCACGGCUAACUCUGUGCCAGCAGCCGCGGUAAGACAGAGGUGGCUAGCGUUGUUCGGAUUUAUUGGGCGUAAAGCGAACGCAGGUGGUUUGGUAAGUCAGGGGUGAAAUUCCACAGCUUAACUGUGGCAUUGCCUUUGAUACUGCCUUUCUUGAGUGCAUGAGGGGGAAGCGGAAUUCCGAGUGUAGAGGUGAAAUUCGUAGAUAUUCGGAGGAACACCGGUGGCGAAGGCGGCUCACUGGCCCGGUACUGACACUGAGGUGCGAAAGCGUGGGGAGCAAACAGGAUUAGAUACCCUGGUAGUCC